CGCGGGGUGGAGUAGUGGUAUCUCGGCGGGCUCAUAACCCGCAGAUCGCAGGUUCGAAUCCUGCCCCCGCUAUCA
rnacentral:tRNA from 1 species